rnacentral:tRNA from 1 species
GCCGGCGUAGCAUAGUGGUUAUUGCAUCUCCUUCGUAAGGAGAGGGUCGGCCGUUCGAAUCGGCUCGUCGGCU